rnacentral:rRNA from 1 species
AGCGUAGGUGGCCUAACAUGUCAACUGUGAAAAACCCCGGAGCUCAACUCCGGACUUGCAGUUGAAACUGGUAGGCUUGAGGACGGUAGAGGAAGACGGAACUGCCAGUGUAGGGGUAAAAUCCUUAGAUAUUGGCAGGAACGCCGGUGACGAAGGUGGUUUUCUGGGCCGGUUCUGACACUGAUGCUCGAAAGCCAGGGGAGCGAACG